UACGUAGGAGACGAGCGUUGUCCGGAGUUACUGGGCGUAAAGGGUGCGCAGGUGGCGGCGCGCGUGGGGGGUGAAAUCGCCCGGCUUAACUGGGCGGGGGCCUUCCAGACGGCGUGGCUUGAGCAGCGGAGGGGGACGUGGAAUUCCGGGUGGAGCGGUGAAAUGCGUAGAUAUCGGGGGGAACACCAGUGGCGAAGGCGACUUCCUGGCCUGUUCUUGACGCUGAGGCGCGAAAGCUAGGGGAGCAAACGGG
rnacentral:rRNA from 1 species